GGCGGGGAUUGUGGGAGCCGCCCGUCGCCGGGUUGGCAGACGUGAGAAGAAGCGAAGAUGGCGGAGUGAGGAGCGCCUCGGCCAUUCGGCCGUUUGGCCUCUGGGCCGGGGGCGUGCAGGCCCCCGGAAAGCCGACUGCGUCUGAUGGACCAUGUGAGAAUUCUUGUCACACAGGAUGAACACUUUCCUUACAUUUAGGUGCUUUUUAUUCAUCUCAAAACAAAAUUCUGAACUCAGGAUGUGGCCGGUAUUUCUAAGUUGUCUUCUAGAGCGGGUAGUCCUGCUUCUUUUAUCCAGCCACUUUCCCUACUGAAAUAUGGAUACCUUUCUACACAUUACCUCCAUGGUUUGGAUUGGAAAAGAUUGCUUUUCUUUUGUUCCACCUUUCAAAUUCAACACAGAAAGAAGCCCUUAGGGUGCAGUUAUCCUGCUGACUUUUCCCGGAAGAAAAAAAGCAAUUGAUGGGUCUUCUGCAAUUUGCUUAAUUAUCAAAAAAUUAUUUUGCAAGCUGAAGGCUGACGUUUAACUUGAAACAGGUGCUUAGGUCAUGGUAUUUGUGAAUUCUUAGCCUUUUGCUCCAAACAAGAAGACUAAUAAAUGGCAAGUAUGGAUGACUUCAGGUUUUUUUAAAAAUGUCUUCCAGUUUCGGCCACUAUUAUGAUAAGCACAUUUGAGACUGCAGCAGUAAAUUCCAAAUAUUUGUUGUAAUUUGAAAAGAAAAAGAUGUUAAAAAGUUACAUAUAUAUCUGUAUCCUGGUUCAUCUUAUGACAGAUUUACUGGAUAGAAAUGAAGGUCCAGUUUUGCAGUUAACCCUUUGGUGUGAUAAAGAAGCAUAAAGACAAGAUAUCAAGAUUGAUUUCAUAUGUGAUACCUAAAGAGAUUCUGUACAAGUACAUAUUUUUACAUGUGUAAAUCCACAUUUUUGGAUGAAAGGAGGGGUUUUUCUCCUGGAGACAGAACCUGUUAUUUACUUUUUAAAGUCUUGGAACAUUUGCUCUUUUUAAAUUUUUUCAUUCUUCUACAGAAGGACCAGAUUGUGUAGCAGCUAAGUGAGUGCAUGCUUACAUUUAGUUAAAAGAAUGGUAAAAGCGAACAACCCAGUUUGAGUCCAUGAUGGAACCCUGUUCACCUUCCUAAGAUGAGAGGCUGCUGUAUAACAGUUUUAUUCAUCCUGUUUUGUGGAGUCAUAUAGCACAGUAGAGUUAGUUUUCUGUGUGGCCAAAACUGGAAGAAAAGUAGCACGAGUAGUUUUUUAGAUAAGAAGGUGAGAUGGACCCUAUAGUAUGACCUGCUUUCAACUUUGGACAUAGAAGAGAAGAAAAAGAUAAUGAGAAGUUUCCAUAUAACUCCUUUUUCCUAAGAAAAAGAAAAAUGUCUUAUGUAGCACCAUUUGACUUUUUUGGAAUUUUACAUUACAUAGUUCCAUUUUUUAUAAAGUCACAAGUAACUCUUUUCUCAACCCAGAUGGGUACUUGCAUUUAUUUUUCUAGGUGGUAGGUGUAAUGUUAAACUGAAAAGGCUGGGACUCAGGUAAAUUUCCCCAGUUGGAAUUGGACUUUCUCAUUACCGAGUGGGUCUAUCUCAGAACCAAUGUUGUCAAUCCACUGGUUGUUUCAUUGUAGAUUUAGAAGAAAUUCAGGAUCUGAAAAAAAAAA